GUUCAGUUUACUUUACAUGACAACAGCGAUAAGGAAGAUACCAGAAAAAGUUUGUCUUAAUAUUUUACUGAAGAGUCUAAUUUUCCCCUGAUGAAGGCUUGACUGCACAAGCUGAAACGCGUUGGGCUUUAGCAUAUUUUACACAGAAAAAUUUUUAUAUACAAGAAAUCAAUGGUGCCUUUGUGCACAGAAUAAAAGCUACCUCUUUUCAGCA